rnacentral:rRNA from 1 species
UACGUAGGGUGCGAGCGUUAAUCGGAAUUACUGGGCGUAAAGCGUGCGUAGGCGGUCCGCGAAGUCUGAUGUGAAAGCCCCGGGCUCAACCUGGGAACUGCAUUGGAAACUAACGGGCUCGAGUGUGGCAGAGGGGGGUGGAAUUCCACGUGUAGCAGUGAAAUGCGUAGAGAUGUGGAGGAACACCGAUGGCGAAGGCAGCCCCCUGGGCUAACACUGACGCUCGGGCACGAAAGCGUGGGGAGCAAACAGG